GAAAACGGAGAGGUCAUGAACUUGUUGUAACCAGUUUAAACCGUUUAAAGUUAAUGCUGUUAAUGAACAUAAAGACUGGAUGUUUUAUCUCUGUGUCACUUGGUACAAAACGGGAGAGUGAGCCGUGUUUGGAGCUGUUUCAGCCAGUAAACUUCGGGGACGCCAUUUUCUGAUGUGAGCUAAUGCUAGUUAGCUUUGCCCUGCUAGCUGGGAAGAGAAGACUGAGUGUGUGUGGGAGACAUAUCUUGCGCCAAUUUUCUGAUGUGCCUCAGUGCCUACAUGCUACCUGCGGUCUACUGACUCUGCUGCUGUUGCUGAGAGGGUGCUCAGGACUUCAUCUCACACCUUGCUGCUGGACAGAGGAUUUUGAGAAAGCUGCUGCUAACAGUGUCUGCGUUCUCAAGGAUCAUCUCUUCACAAAUCUAGCUUGAGAGUCAGUCAGAGGCAGACGGCAGAGCGCAGAGAGAGUGGAGAGACU